GCAAUACUGAGGAGUCCCAUACUAGGACGAAACGGCCGUCCAAUGC
rfam:Schistosoma mattheei strain Denwood, Zambia genome assembly, scaffold: SMTD_contig0000291